CCGGCGCACGGGUGAGUAACGCGUAUCCAACCUGCCUUACACUCUUGGAUAGCCUUCUGAAAGGGAGAUUAAUACAAGAUGUUAUCAUGAGUAAGCAUUUUCGCAUGAUUAAAGGUUUACCGGUGUAAGAUGGGGAUGCGUUCCAUUAGAUAGUAGGCGGGGUAACGGCCCACCAAGGCGACGAUCAGUAGCCGACCUGAGAGGGUGACCGGCCACAUUGGGACUGAGACACGGCCCAA
rnacentral:rRNA from 1 species